GACGGAGGGGGCUAGCGUUGUUCGGAAUGACUGGGCGUAAAGGGUGCGUAGGCGGUUUUUUAAGUGAGGCGUGAAAGCCCUGGGCUUAACCCAGGAAUUGCGUUUCAGACUGGAAAGCUUGAGUACGAGAGAGGUAAGUGGAAUUCCUAGUGUAGAGGUGAAAUUCGUAGAUAUUAGGAAGAACACCAGUGGCGAAGGCGGCUUACUGGCUCGUAACUGACGCUGAGGCACGAAAGCGUGGGGAGCAAACAGG
rnacentral:rRNA from 1 species